GGUGGUUCAGUGGUAGAAUGCUUGUCUUGGAUGCAUGAGGCCUUGGGUUCGAUUCCUCAGCACCA
rfam:Dipodomys ordii contig_72234, whole genome shotgun sequence.